rnacentral:misc_RNA from 1 species
GAACGCACAUUGCGCCCUAUGGUAUUCCGUAGGGCAUGCCUGUUCGAGCGUCAUUCAAACCUUCAAGCUCUGCUUGGUGUUGGGCGUCUGUCCUGCCUCACGGCGCGGACUCGCCUCAAAUCUAUUGGCGGCCGGCACGUUGGCUUCGAGCGCAGCAGAAACGCGAACUCGGGCCCGACGGAUCGGCUCCCAGAAGCUACCCCCAUGAAUUUGACCUCGGAUCAGGUAGGGAUACCCGCUGAACUUAAG